UAUUUUGAUCUCUAUCAAAAUAUUAUUGAAACUUCUUUCAAUAGAUUGGAAUGAUUUCAACUCAUCAAUCAAAAAUUAUAAUCAUCAAAAUAAUUUUCAUUGAUCCCAUAAUCCACCAAUGAUGUCUAGCAGUAUGUAUUGACAAUCUAGUAGAGCAGAAGGAUGAACCUCUAGGUAUAGUUAUCAUGUGAUUCAGUUCUUCUAUCAUAAGUUCUGA
rnacentral:lncRNA from 1 species